GUGAAUCAUCAAAUCUUUGAACGCAAAUUGCACUCUCUUCGGAGAGUAUGCCUGUUUGAGGGUCAGUAUUAAUAAAAAUCGGUGUGUUGCUUCUUUGUGACGCUCCGGAGUUUGGGUCAUCUUAAUAUCCUUAGGUUUUAAGAGGCUUAAAAUUGACUUUUUUUGCGCAUUUUUGAAGUAAAAUAAUUCUUUUUUUUAUUCGGUUGUUUUAAUUCUCAAAAUCCUAUUUGAUUCC
rnacentral:misc_RNA from 1 species